rnacentral:rRNA from 1 species
UUAAGCGACUAAGCGUACACGGUGGAUGCCCUGGCAGUCAGAGGCGAUGAAGGACGUGCUAAUCUGCGAAAAGCGUCGGUAAGGUGAUAUGAACCGUUAUAGCCGGCGAUGUCCGAAUGGGGAAACCCAGUGCAAUUCGUUGCACUAUCGUUAACUGAAUACAUAGGUUAACGAGGCGAACCGGGGGAACUGAAACAUCUAAGUACCCCGAGGAAAAGAAAUCAACCGAGAUUCCCCCAGUAGCGGCGAGCGAACGGGGAGCAGCCCAGAGUCUGAAUCAGCUUGUGUGUUAGUGGAACGGUCUGGAAAGUCCGACGGUACAGGGUGAUAGUCCCGUACACCAAAAUGCACAGGUUGUGAACUCGAAGAGUAGGGCGGGACACGUGGUAUCCUGUCUGAAUAUGGGGGGACCAUCCUCCAAGGCUAAAUACUCCUGACUGACCGAUAGUGAACCAGUACCGUGAGGGAAAGGCGAAAAGAACCCCGGCGAGGGGAGUGAAAAAGAACCUGAAACCGUGUACGUACAAGCAGUGGGAGCACCUUCGGGUGUGACUGCGUACCUUUUGUAUAAUGGGUCAGCGACUUAUAUUCUGUAGCAAGGUUAACCGUAUAGGGGAGCCGCAGGGAAACCGAGUCUUAACUGGGCGUUAAGUUGCAGGGUAUAGACCCGAAACCCGGUGAUCUAGCCAUGGGCAGGUUGAAGGUUGGGUAACACUAACUGGAGGACCGAACCGACUAAUGUUGAAAAAUUAGCGGAUGACUUGUGGCUGGGGGUGAAAGGCCAAUCAAACCGGGAGAUAGCUGGUUCUCCCCGAAAGCUAUUUAGGUAGCGCCUCGUGAACUCAUCUUCGGGGGUAGAGCACUGUUUCGGCUAGGGGGUCAUCCCGACUUACCAACCCGAUGCAAACUACGAAUACCGAAGAAUGUUAUCACGGGAGACACACGGCGGGUGCUAACGUCCGUCGUGAAGAGGGAAACAACCCAGACCGCCAGCUAAGGUCCCAAAGUCAUGGUUAAGUGGGAAACGAUGUGGGAAGGCACAGACAGCCAGGAUGUUGGCUUAGAAGCAGCCAUCAUUUAAAGAAAGCGUAAUAGCUCACUGGUCGAGUCGGCCUGCGCGGAAGAUGUAACGGGGCUAAACCAUGCACCGAAGCUGCGGCAGCGACACUAUGUGUUGUUGGGUAGGGGAGCGUUCUGUAAGCCUGCGAAGGUGACCUGUGAGGGUUGCUGGAGGUAUCAGAAGUGCGAAUGCUGACAUAAGUAACGAUAAAGCGGGUGAAAAGCCCGCUCGCCGGAAGACCAAGGGUUCCUGUCCAACGUUAAUCGGGGCAGGGUGAGUCGACCCCUAAGGCGAGGCCGAAAGGCGUAGUCGAUGGGAAACAGGUUAAUAUUCCUGUACUUGGUGUUACUGCGAAGGGGGGACGGAGAAGGCUAUGUUAGCCGGGCGACGGUUGUCCCGGUUUAAGCAUGUAGGCUGGUUGUCCAGGCAAAUCCGGAUAAUCAAGGCUGAGGUGUGAUGACGAGGCACUACGGUGCUGAAGUAACAAAUGCCCUGCUUCCAGGAAAAGCCUCUAAGCAUCAGGUAACAUUAAAUCGUACCCCAAACCGACACAGGUGGUCAGGUAGAGAAUACCAAGGCGCUUGAGAGAACUCGGGUGAAGGAACUAGGCAAAAUGGUGCCGUAACUUCGGGAGAAGGCACGCUGGUGUGUAGGUGAAGUCCCUGCGGAUGGAGCUGAGACCAGUCGAAGAUACCAGCUGGCUGCAACUGUUUAUUAAAAACACAGCACUGUGCAAACACGAAAGUGGACGUAUACGGUGUGACGCCUGCCCGGUGCCGGAAGGUUAAUUGAUGGGGUUAUCCGUAAGGAGAAGCUCUUGAUCGAAGCCCCGGUAAACGGCGGCCGUAACUAUAACGGUCCUAAGGUAGCGAAAUUCCUUGUCGGGUAAGUUCCGACCUGCACGAAUGGCGUAAUGAUGGCCAGGCUGUCUCCACCCGAGACUCAGUGAAAUUGAACUCGCUGUGAAGAUGCAGUGUACCCGCGGCAAGACGGAAAGACCCCGUGAACCUUUACUAUAGCUUGACACUGAACAUUGAGCCUUGAUGUGUAGGAUAGGUGGGAGGCUUUGAAGCGUGGACGCCAGUCUGCGUGGAGCCAACCUUGAAAUACCACCCUUUAAUGUUUGAUGUUCUAACGUUGGCCCCUUACCGGGGUUGCGGACAGUGUCUGGUGGGUAGUUUGACUGGGGCGGUCUCCUCCCAAAGCGUAACGGAGGAGCACGAAGGUUAGCUAAUCCUGGUCGGACAUCAGGAGGUUAGUGCAAUGGCAUAAGCUAGCUUGACUGCGAGCGUGACGGCGCGAGCAGGUGCGAAAGCAGGUCAUAGUGAUCCGGUGGUUCUGAAUGGAAGGGCCAUCGCUCAACGGAUAAAAGGUACUCCGGGGAUAACAGGCUGAUACCGCCCAAGAGUUCAUAUCGACGGCGGUGUUUGGCACCUCGAUGUCGGCUCAUCACAUCCUGGGGCUGAAGUAGGUCCCAAGGGUAUGGCUGUUCGCCAUUUAAAGUGGUACGCGAGCUGGGUUUAGAACGUCGUGAGACAGUUCGGUCCCUAUCUGCCGUGGGCGCUGGAGAAUUGAGGGGGGCUGCUCCUAGUACGAGAGGACCGGAGUGGACGCAUCACUGGUGUUCGGGUUGUCAUGCCAAUGGCACUGCCCGGUAGCUAAAUGCGGAAGAGAUAAGUGCUGAAAGCAUCUAAGCACGAAACUUGCCCCGAGAUGAGUUCUCCCUGAGACUUUAAGUCUCCUGAAGGAACGUUAAAGACGAUGACGUUGAUAGGCCGGGUGUGUAAGCGCAGCGAUGCGUUGAGCUAACCGGUACUAAUGAACCGUGAGGCUUAACCU